rnacentral:hammerhead_ribozyme from 1 species
GUAUUGAUGAAGAGUCCCAAACUAGGACGAAACAGUUGUCCAGUAC